UAAGAAAGGGGCUAGCGUUGGUCGGAAUUACUGGGCGUAAAGCGCACGUAGGCGGACUCUUAAGUCAGGGGUGAAAUCCCGGGGCUCAACCUCGGAACUGCCUUUGAUACUGUGAGUCUCGAGACCGGAAGAGGUGAGUGGAAUUCCUAGUGUAGAGGUGAAAUUCGUAGAUAUUAGGAAGAACACCAGUGGCGAAGGCGGCUCACUGGUCCGGUUCUGACGCUGAGGUGCGAAAGCGUGGGAAGCAAACAGG
rnacentral:rRNA from 1 species